CAAACGCGUAUAUUAAAAAGUGUUGCGGUUAAGCUCGUAGUUGGAUUUCUGCUGAGGACGAUCGGUCGGCCCAUUGGGUGAGUAUCUUGCUCGGCCUUGGCAUCUUCUUGGAGAACGUUGUUGUGCUUGAUUGUGCGGUUCGGUAACCAGGACUUUUACUUUGAGGGAAUUAAAGUUUUUCAAGCAGGCGCGCGCCUUGAAUACAUCAGCGUGGAAUAAUGAGAUAGGACUUUGGUUCUAUUUGGUUGAUUCUUGGGCUGAGGUCAUGAUUACUAGGGAUAGUUGGGGGCGUUCGUAUUUAAUUGUCAAAGGUGAAGUUCUUGGAUUCGUUGAAGGCGGAGUAAAGCGAACGUAUUUGCCAAUGGUGCUUUAAUUGA
rnacentral:rRNA from 1 species